rnacentral:rRNA from 1 species
UACGUAGGGUGCAAGCGUUGUCCGGAAUUAUUGGGCGUAAAGAGCUCGUAGGCGGUCUGUCGCGUCGGCUGUGAAAUCCCGAGGCUCAACCUCGGGUCUGCAGUCGAUACGGGCAAACUAGAGUUCGGUAGGGGAGACUGGAAUUCCUGGUGUAGCGGUGAAAUGCGCAGAUAUCAGGAGGAACACCGGUGGCGAAGGCGGGUCUCUGGGCCGAUACUGACGCUGAGGAGCGAAAGCGUGGGGAGCGAACAGG